GGACUGUGGCUCAGUGGUAGAGCACUUGCCUAGUACAUGUGAGACACUGGGUUUGAUCCUCAGCACCA
rnacentral:tRNA from 1 species